rnacentral:rRNA from 1 species
GGAUGAACGCUGGCGGCGUGCCUAAUACAUGCAAGUCGAACGCAUAGCGAAAGGUGCUUGCACCUAUCAAGUGAGUGGCGAACGGGUGAGUAACACGUGGACAACCUGCCUCAAGGCUGGGGAUAACAUUUGGAAACAGAUGCUAAUACCGAAUAAAACUUAGUGUCGCAUGACACAAAGUUAAAAGGCGCUUCGGCGUCACCUAGAGAUGGAUCCGCGGUGCAUUAGUUAGUUGGUGGGGUAAAGGCCUACCAAGACAAUGAUGCAUAGCCGAGUUGAGAGACUGAUCGGCCACAUUGGGACUGAGACACGGCCCAAACUCCUACGGGAGGCUGCAGUAGGGAAUCUUCCACAAUGGGCGAAAGCCUGAUGGAGCAACGCCGCGUGUGUGAUGAAGGCUUUCGGGUCGUAAAGCACUGUUGUAUGGGAAGAACAGCUAGAAUAGGAAAUGAUUUUAGUUUGACGGUACCAUACCAGAAAGGGACGGCUAAAUACGU